rnacentral:rRNA from 1 species
UACAGAGGUCCCAAGCGUUGUCCGGAUUUACUGGGCGUAAAGAGCGCGCAGGCGGUCGUUCAAGUCGCGUGUGAAAGCCCCCGGCUCAACUGGGGAGGGUCACGCGAUACUGAUCGACUCGAAGGCAGGAGAGGGUAGUGGAAUUCCCGGUGUAGUGGUGAAAUGCGUAGAUAUCGGGAGGAACACCAGUGGCGAAGGCGACUUCCUGGCCUGUUCUUGACGCUGAGGCGCGAAAGCUAGGGGAGCAAACGGG